UACGGGAGGCAGCAGUGGGGAAUAUUGGACAAUGGGCGAAAGCCUGAUCCAGCCAUGCCGCGUGAUGUGAAGAAGGCCUUCGGAUUGUAAAGCUCUUUAUGUUGGGAGGAAGGGGAGUUUCCUAAUACGUUAUUGUUUUGACGUUACCGACAGAAUAAGCACCGGCUAACUCUGUGCCAGCAGCCGCGGUAA
rnacentral:rRNA from 1 species